rnacentral:rRNA from 1 species
UGACAUCAAUGGUGUUCAAGAGAUGCGGCGUUAAUGUAUCGACCCAUCAUGCAUUGUUCCACAUUUCAAGUUCCUACGACCGGGACUUCCAGAGCGGGUGUAAGACCCAUAGAGAUGAGGAACCAGUGUAUGCUGAGCGAUGCAUUCUAGAGUCAGGUUGCUUGAGAGUGCAGCUUAAAGUCGGUGGUAAACUCCAUCCAAGACUAAAUACUACAGCGAGACCGAUAGCAAACAAGUACCGUGAGGGAAAGUUGCAAAGCACUUUGAAGAGAGAGUUCAAAAGUACGUGAAACCACUGGGAGGCAAACAGAUGGAACCACGAAGUGUGCGCCUCGGUCGAUUCAAUCAUCACUUUUGAUCAGUUGUAGUUGAUCAGGAUCUUUUCGGAGGUUGAUUUUCUACAAUUAUGAUCAAAGGUGUUGGUGCAUUUCGUGCCGAGGAUGCAAAGCCACGUUCAACUAGAGUUGGGACGGCUGUAAGAAAGAAUCCGAGAAAGGUGACCGUCAAGUGCUUGCAUUUGACGGCGUUAUAGUCUCGGAUUGGCACCGUCUUCUAACAUACUGGUUGAUGGAAAUUCUCCAUUUGGAGUUGAACCAUAUCUGCCUGUGAUUGUUAGUCGAUGUUGCGUAAUGUUCUUUGCGUAUCUUUCGAUGCGAAAAGACUUUGCAAAAAUGUCGGUUAAUGGUUGCUUGCGUGAUAUGGUGGAACUGUGGCGUGAGUAGGUCGGUCUCCAUCUGACCCGUCUUGAAACACGGACCAAGGAGCCUAUCAUAUACGCGAGUCGCUCGGUCUUGUUUAGGCCUGGGAGGCGUAAUGAAAGUAAAGUUACGAGGCUUCGGCUGCAGUAACGGCUCGCCCACUUUGUUUAUUGGCAAUAUGGCGAAGCUGGAGCGUAUACGAUGGUACCCGAAAGAUGGUGAACUAUGCCUGGGCAAGACGAAGCCAGAGGAAACUCUGGUGGAGGUCUGUAGCGAUUCUGACGUGCAAAUCGAUCGUCAGACCUGGGUAUAGGGGCGAAAGACUAAUCGAACCAUCUAGUAGCUGGUUCCCUCCGAAGUUUCCCUCAGGAUAGCAGGCAUUUAUUUAAAUAUGUGUGCAGUCUCAUCCGGUAAAGCUAAUGAUUAGAGGUCUUGGGGUUGAAACGACCUCAACCUAUUCUCAAACUUUAAAUGGGUGAGAUGGUUGACUUUCUUGAUUGAAGCCAACCAUUUGGAUGCAAAUGCCUAGUGGGCCAUUUUUGGUAAGCAGAACUGGCGCUGUGGGAUGAACCAAACGUCGAGAUAAGGCAUCAAAUGCGUACGCUCAUCAGACCCCAUGAAAGG